rnacentral:rRNA from 1 species
CCAGACUCCUACGGGAGGCAGCAGUGGGGAAUAUUGCACAAUGGGGGAAACCCUGAUGCAGCGACGCCGCGUGAGUGAAGAAGUAUUUCGGUAUGUAAAGCUCUAUCAGCAGGGAAGAAAGAAAUGACGGUACCUGACUAAGAAGCCCCGGCUAACUACGUGCCAGCAGCCGCGGUAAUACGUAGGGGGCAAGCGUUAUCCGGAUUCACUGGGUGUAAAGGGAGCGUAGACGGCGACGCAAGUCUGGAGUGAAAGCCCGGGGCCCAACCCCGGGACUGCUCUGGAAACUGCGUCGCUGGAGUACGGGAGGGGCAGGCGGAAUUCCUGGUGUAGCGGUGAAAUGCGUAGAUAUCAGGAGGAACACCGGCGGCGAAGGCGGCGUGCUGGACCGAGACUGACGUUGAGGCUCGAGAGCGUGGGGAGCAAACAGGAUUAGAUACCCCAGUA